rnacentral:rRNA from 1 species
GGGGUCCUACGGGGCGCAGCAGUGAGGAAUAUUGGUCAAUGGGCGCGAGCCUGAACCAGCCAAGUAGCGUGAAAGAUGACUGCCCUACGGGUUGUAAACUUCUUUUAUAUAGGAAUAAAGUGUGGCACGCGUGCCUUUUUGUAUGUAUUUUAUGAAUAAAGAUCGGCUAACUCCGUGCCAGCAGCCGCGGUAAUACGGAGGAUCCGAGCGUUAUCCGGAUUUAUUGGGUUUAAAGGGAGCGUAGAUGGGUUGUUAAGUCAGUUGUGAAAGUUUGCGGCUCAACCGUAAAAUUGCAAUUGAUACUG